AGAGUUUGAUCCUGGCUCAGGAUGAACGCUGGCGGCGUGCCUAACACAUGCAAGUCGAGCGAAGCGAUUUUGAGGAAGUUUACGGAUGGAAUUGGAAUUGACUGAGCGGCGGACGGGUGAGUAACGCGUGGGUAACCUGCCUCAUACAGGGGGAUAACAGUUAGAAAUGACUGCUAAUACCGCAUAAGCGCACGGGACCGCAUGGUCUUGUGUGAAAAACUCCGGUGGUAUGAGAUGGACCCGCGUCUGAUUAGGUAGUUGGCGGGGUAGCGGCCCACCAAGCCGACGAUCAGUAGCCGACCUGAGAGGGUGACCGGCCACAUUGGGACUGAGACACGGCCCAAACUCCUACGGGAGGCAGCAGUGGGGAAUAUUGCACAAUGGGGGAAACCCUGAUGCAGCGACGCCGCGUGAGUGAAGAAGUAUUUCGGUAUGUAAAGCUCUAUCAGCAGGGAAGAAAGUGACGGUACCUGAGUAAGAAGCCCCGGCUAACUACGUGCCAGCAGCCGCGGU
rnacentral:rRNA from 1 species